rnacentral:rRNA from 1 species
GAGUUUGAUUAUGGCUCAGGACGAACGCUGGCGGCGUGCCUAACACAUGCAAGUCGAACGGUAAGGCCCUUUUGGGGGUACACGAGUGGCGAACGGGUGAGUAACACGUGAGUAACCUGCCCUUGACUCUGGGAUAACAGUUGGAAACAGUUGCUAAUACCGGAUAUGAACCCCUGGGGCAUCUUGGGGGUUGGAAAGUUCCGGCGGUCAGGGAUGGGCUCGCGGCCUAUCAGCUUGUUGGUGAGGUAGUGGCUCACCAAGGCGACGACGGGUAGCCGGCCUGAGAGGGCGACCGGCCACAUUGGGACUGAGAUACGGCCCAAACUCCUACGGGAGGCAGCAGUGGGGAAUAUUGCACAAUGGGCGGAAGCCUGAUGCAGCAACGCCGCGUGCGGGAUGACGGCCUUCGGGUUGUAAACCGCUUUCAUCCAUGACGAAGCUUUUGUGANCGGUAGUGAAAACGCA